CCUAACCUUUGACAACUACCCUAAUCAUGCAUAAAACCCUUUCAAACUUCUCAAAACUUACUCAAAACAUGAAAAGAGGUGAGGAUCUACUCUUACCUCUUGAAGAUCGAGAGGAGAGGCGAUCCAACUCGGAGAUGGGAGAGAUCGAGCUCCUGGAGUCUCCAAGUUUCCAACUUCACUCUUUUUGCUCAAAUAUCUUCAGACCAAGAUAAAACUUGUUAAAAAUCAUAAGAGACUUGUAGGAAGAAGACAAGAUCGACAAGGGAGGUCGGAGACUCACCUUGGCUGGAAAUGGGGAGAGAAAACUAACCCAUUUCGGACAGGGGACCCCUUUAUAGGUGGCUGGCCAGGCCACUUUCGGGGGCCUAACGUGCCUCAGCAUGCAUGCCAUGUUCGGCGGCCGAACAUGAGGUUCGGCGGCCGAACCUGGGCUCUUCCUUCAUUCUCUUUCUUUUC
rnacentral:lncRNA from 1 species